UACAUAAUUUCUUGUAGCAUGUACCUUAUA
rnacentral:piRNA from 1 species